ACCCCCCCCCCCCCGUCCUAAAAUUGUUGUCUUAGAUUUGUCUGGAAAUGAAUGUAUCUAUAUACAAUAACAUGACUAGAUACAUUCAUAUCUAGACAAAUUUACAAAAAUAAUUUUGGGACGGAGGGAGUACUUG
rfam:Hordeum vulgare subsp. vulgare, WGS project CAJW01000000 data, contig: morex_contig_135777